GCUGUAGCUCAGUGGUAGAACAUCUGACUUGCAUGCAGAAGAUCCCAAGUUUAACCUCUGCCUGAAACU